rnacentral:rRNA from 1 species
CCUACGGGAGGCAGCAGUAGGGAAUAUUGCUCAAUGGGGGAAACCCUGAAGCAGCAACGCCGCGUGGAGGAUGAAGGUUUUCGGAUUGUAAACUCCUUUUGUUAGAGAAGAUAAUGACGGUAUCUUACGCAUAAGCACCGGCUAACUCCGUGCCAGCAGCCGCGGUCAUCCGGAGGGUGCAAGCUUUACUCGGAAUCACUGGGCGUAGAGGGUGCGUAGGCGGAAUGCCAGGUCAGCGGUAAAAUCGCGGGGCUCAAGCUCGCUCCGCCGUUGAAACUGGCGUUCUUGAGUGGGCGAGAAGUAUGCGGAAUGCGUGGUGUAGCGGUGAAAUGCAUAGAUAUCACGCAGAACUCCGAUUGCGAAGGCAGCACACCGGCGCCCAACUGACGCUGAAGCACGAAAGCGUGGGUAUCGAACAGGAUUAGAUACCCUUGUAGUC